AUUUGUAAUGAUGUAAUCCAUGUAGUUGGAAUAGAAGGGACUACUUCUCCUGUAACUAGUUAGUGCCAAAGAGCCUUGUCCAAAUGGUCAUUUUGAAUUUUCCUGUAACAUGCUUUAAUACCUUAUUGAUUGCUUGGCAGACUUUGAGCUUUAAUUGACCUAUUUCUUGUACUUGAUUUAUUUCUCUGCUCUGUUUGCAGAGGCAAAAUCUGGUCAAAGGGAAUAUGCAACUCUUUUCAGUGGAACAACAAAGAAGUCAAGCUCUGGAAGCUCAUGAUGCUGCUUUUGCACAAUUUAAAGUUCCAGGGAAUGAGAAUCCUUCUACUCUCAUUUCCUUUGCAACAAAGACUUUUAAUGCUGGCCAAAUUACAUCAAAGCUGCAUGUUAUAGAUCUUGGUGCCCAACCAGGGUCAAUAUAAGUCGAC